rnacentral:rRNA from 1 species
UACGUAGGGAGCAAGCGUUGUCCGGAAUCAUUGGGCGUAAAGCGCGCGUAGGCGGCCCUGUAAGUCCGUUGUGAAAGUCAAAGGCUCAACCUUUGAAAGCCGAUGGAUACUGCAGGGCUAGAGUCCGGAAGAGGCGAGUGGAAUUCCUGGUGUAGCGGUGGAAUGCGCAGAUAUCAGGAGGAACACCGGUGGCGAAAGCGGUUUCCUGGCCGAGUACUGACGCUGAGGCACGAAAGCGUGGGGAGCGAACGGG